rnacentral:piRNA from 1 species
GCCUCUAUGUAUGUGCCUGCUACCCA